rnacentral:rRNA from 1 species
UACGAAGGGGGCUAGCGUUGUUCGGAAUUACUGGGCGUAAAGCGCACGUAGGCGGAUAUUUAAGUCAGGGGUGAAAUCCCAGAGCUCAACUCUGGAACUGCCUUUGAUACUGGGUAUCUUGAGUAUGGAAGAGGUAAGUGGAAUUGCGAGUGUAGAGGUGAAAUUCGUAGAUAUUCGCAGGAACACCAGUGGCGAAGGCGGCUUACUGGUCCAUUACGUGACGCUGAGGUGGCGAAAGCGUGGGGAGCAAACAGG